rnacentral:lncRNA from 10 species
AAAUUUGCGGCAUCAGUUGACUUAGAGGCAAACUCUUCAAACCCUCCUGCUGCUUUAUUAACUAAGUUUAUGUAAUAUUCUAAAUCCUUUGUGGCCAUUUCUACUCUGUCACCCAGGCUGGAGUACGGUGGUAUAGUCAUGGCUCCCUGCAGCCUUGAUCUCCUGGAAUCAAGUGUUCCUCCCACCUCAGCCUCCUGAAUAGCUGAGACUACAGGUAUGCACCACCACACCCAGCUAUUUUAAAAAUUUUUUGUAGAGACAGGGUCUCACUAUGUUACCCAGUCUGGCCUUGAACUCCUGGGCUCAAGCCAUCCUUCUGCCUUGGCUUCCCAAAAUUUUGGAAUUACAGGCAUAAGUUACCAUGCCCAGCCUCCAGAAGGUUUUCAAUUUACUUUACCCAGAUCCAUUGGAGGAAUUACUAUCUAUGGCAGCUAUACCCUUACAAAAUACAUUUCUUAAAUCUUAAGACUUAAAGUAGAAAUUACUUCUUGAACCAUCGGCUGCAAAAUGGAUGUUGUGUUAGCAGGCAUGAAAAUGUUAACCUUGUACCUCUCCAUCAAAGCUCUUGAGUGACUAGCUAUGUUGCUAGCCAACAGUAUUCUUUUGAAAGGGAUGUUUUUUUUGAGCAGUAGUCUCAAAAGUGGGUUUAAAAUAUUCAGUAAACCACGAUGUAAACAGAUGUGCUGUCAUCCAGGCUUUGUUAUUCCAUUGAUAGGGCACAGGCAGAGUAGAUUUAGCAUAAUUCUUAAGGCCCUGGGAUUUUCAGAAUGGUAAAUGAGCAUUGGCUUCCACUUAAAGUCGCCAGCUGCAUUAGCCUCUAACAAGAGAGUCAGCCUGUCCUUUGAAGCUUUGAAGACAUGCGUUGACUUCUCCUCUCUAGCUGUGAAAAUCCUAGAUGGCAUCUUCUUCCAAGAAAAGGCUGUUUUGUCCACAUUGAAAAUCUGUUGUUAGUGUAGCUACCUUCAUCAGUGAUCUUAGCUAGAUCUUCUAGAUAACUUGCGCUAGCUUCUACAUCAGCACUGUCUGUGUUACCUUGCAUGUUUAUGUUAUGGAGAUGGCUUGUUUUGUUAAACCUCAUGAACCAAGC